rnacentral:rRNA from 1 species
UACGUAGGGCGCAAGCGUUGUCCGGAAUUAUUGGGCGUAAAGAGCUCGUAGGCGGCCAGUUGCGUCCGCUGUGAAAUCCCGGGGCUUAACCCCGGGCGUGCAGUGGAUACGGGCUGGCUAGAGGCAGGCAGGGGAGAACGGAAUUCCCGGUGUAGCGGUGAAAUGCGCAGAUAUCGGGAGGAACACCUGUGGCGAAGGCGGCCAUCUGGACAACUACUGACACUGAGACGCGAAAGCGUGGGUAGCAAACAGG